rnacentral:antisense_RNA from 1 species
CUUAUCUCUCUCUCUCUCUCUCUCUUUUAAACAGAGGAAGACAAACAUAAAGAUGAAGUGCUUAAUUCAAGGUCACACAAUGUCGGGGAUGGACCUCCAGAUUUCCUUACUGACCUGCAUUAUCUUGUGGAUACCUGAGUGAAUUCCACACCACCCAUUUUAUAGAUGAAACCACUGAGACAUGGAGCAACUGACUGAGUAGUCACUGCCCCACCCCUGCCUGGAGCCUCACACAUGACUCGUCUCCUCUCAGUGACCACAGGUGAGACGUGGUCUUGUAACACAGUGGUUAAGAAUGUGACUUUGGAGCCAGCCUGCUAGGGGCUGAAUUCUGACUCAGCCAUUUACUAACUGUGUGACCUUAGGCUGGAGUGCAAUGGCAUGAUCUCGGCUCACCACAAUCUCUGCUUCCUGGGUUCAAGCGAUUCUCCUGCCUCAGCCUCCCAAGUACCUGGGACUACAGGCACUCGCCACCAUG